AGUGAACGCUGGCGGUAGGCCUAACACAUGCAAGUCGAACGGCAGCACAGUAAGAGCUUGCUCUUACGGGUGGCGAGUGGCGGACGGGUGAGGAAUACAUCGGAAUCUACUUUUUCGUGGGGGAUAACGUAGGGAAACUUACGCUAAUACCGCAUACGACCUACGGGUGAAAGCAGGGGAUCUUCGGACCGUGCGCGAGUGAAUGAGCCGAUGUCGGAUUAGCUAGUUGGGGGGGGAAAGGCCAACCAACGCGGCGAUCCGUAGCGGGACUGAGAGGGUGUCCUGCCAAAUUGGCACUACGCUACGGCCCAGACUCCUCCUGGGGGAAGAAGGGGGGCAUAUUGCACAGCGGUCUGAAGCCUGAUGAAAAACCGCCGCGUGCGGGAUGACGGCCUUCGGGUUGAAAACAGCAUUCGCCCGUGACGAAGCGUCAGUGACGGUAACGGGAAAAGAAGCAACGGCUAACUACGUG
rnacentral:rRNA from 1 species